CUAUUGCAGCCUAACAAUGCUAAGAAGUUCUACUGCCUUCCUCCUUAGUUAGGGCUGCCUCUUGUCCAGUCUAGAUUAGGCAUAGGCCUCAAGGCACAUAUUUUUAUGCUUCUGUGGGCUUCAUUUUGGGUCACUAAAUUUAAUCACCUAAUUUUUUUUUUAUGGUACUACUGGGUUUAUAUUUUUCUCCCAAUUCCUUCCGUUGGCCCGAAAACCAAUAAUUAAUCAAUUAUAAUCCUAGGCCCCAAAAACCUAUUUGCAUAUAAUUUGUUUUCUUUUUGCUUUAUAUAUUUUUGUCUUGUAUAUAUUGCGUUUGUUUGCAAGUAUUAUGAACUUGAAGUUUCAGAAAAGUGCCAUAGAAACCUAAAAUUUCUUAAUGUGCAACACUCAUGUUGAGACCCAAAGUUCUCCAUGCUUAAAUCCAUUUAAACCAAACUAUGUCUUAGAACCUGAAUGUUCUAACUUUGAUGUUUACGGAAAUUUUAUUUCGUAAAGCACCAAUCACAUUCUUGUUUCUGCCAUUUAGCGUAUUGUCGAACCAUAACAAGUUUGAUUUCACGGAUU
rnacentral:lncRNA from 1 species